rnacentral:ncRNA from 1 species
UUUAAUUGGUUCCCUGAGGUAAAAAAAAAAAGAAAAGCUGCAUAGAAAUUAUAUUAAGGCCUUUUGGAUUAGGCCCAGGCGAGGGUGUGUUCUUCCAGGCAGAGAGUGACCCUGGCCUAAACAAUGACUAAGAAGGCAAAGACUUUAUGCAUCAUAGAGAGAGUUCAAGCCUUGUGAUGGAGGCCGCAGCCCGUGGACAGUGUGAGGCUGGUAGCGGCCCCCCCGCACGCCGGGCCCGGGGCUUCUCGGAGUCGGGUUCCUUGGGAAUGCAGCCCAAAGCGGGUGGUAAACUCCCUCUAAGGCUAAAUACCAGCACGAGACCGAUAGCCAACAAGUACUGUAAGGGAAAGUUGAAAAGAACUUUGAAGAGUUCUCUGAUUCUGUGAUGAGUUGAAUUCCUUCUCAUCAUACAUAAACAUUUUAGAUCUAAGGCUAUAAAGUGAUUAACAGCAGAAGCCAGAAAUACGUUCUUCUAUUAAAGUACUUGUUAUUCUUAAAAAUCCAUCAUCAAAAUUACCUAGAUAUAGAACACCGUGUAAGCUGAAGCACUUCUGUACUGCACUUCCGUUCUAAAGUAAGUCCACCCACUGUGG